AAAAGGGGCUUUUCGACCACUUUUCGACUGGUUUGCGAUUAUAAUUUGCACUUUGUCUAGACCCACUAAUAUUGGCCGAUUCAACCACAGAAAAAGAAUAUUAGCCAUAACCAUAAAAGUUGAAGUUCAAAUGUCAAUGUCAUUUAGUUUCGCACAGUGACAUGCAAUUUUUGUAAUGGCAAAAUAUUUGUAAGAAACUGCAAACAAAUUCAAAUGUGCAGUCGAUGUGUGGAAUGCGACAACAUUAUACUCGGUUGAUAACGAAGGGUUGACGCUAAUCGAGGAUUCAUUGAUGAUUGAUAAUGCUUCUUCGGACAACAAGAAAAAACAGCAACUGUCAGUCAGCAGUGAUGAUGCUUCUUCGAACAACAAGGAAAAACAGCUGCUGUCAGUCAGCAGUGAUUUUAUUUCUUUAGAAGAAGAAGAGAAAGAAAACAUAUCAAAUGGCGGGCAAACCCCCAAAAAAACAUAAAUAUUCAAGCAGGCUUAGAACAGAAUAUCAGCCCCCCAGGACUAACUAUUUAUAUUUAGCACUUUCAAAUAACACCAUUCAAGUAUCAGUACAUUCAGUUGGUUCUAUGAUUUAUGAAUGUGUUCAAUGUCAAGCACUUCAUUUUUUAAGUGAAAAAAUUAAAAAUCAUUUUAAAAAUUGUUGUCAUAAUGGGAAGGUAUACAUAGAUCCAGAAUUAUUAUUAGAUAAUACAAAGGCAAUACGUCUGAUGCUAAUCAUUUUAAGGUUAAUAUACGACUAUAUAAUUCAGCAUUUGCAAUGGCAUCCAUUAAUUCAAACUUGAACACAUUCCCUCCAGGAUUUUUCACUUAUAGGGUACAAGGACAAAUUUAUAUAAAAACUGGAUCUAUGGUUCCGUUGCAAGGUCAUAAACCACAAUACAACCAAUUGUAUAUAAUUGCCUUAAAUGAAAGAUUAUCUGAUUCUAGAAAUAACAUAUGUAAAAGCAAUAUAAUGAGGUCCUUACAAACAAUGCUCAAUGAAUUCAAUCCUUUUGUCAAAGUAUACAAAAAGGUGGCUGCAAUUUUAGCAGAAGAGGAAUUAAAAGCAGCCUCAGAAAAUCGACCCAAAUAUUCGGUAUCAAU